rnacentral:rRNA from 1 species
GAUGAACGCUGGCGGCGUGCCUAAUACAUGCAAGUCGAGCGAACGGACGAGAAGCUUGCUUCUCUGAUGUUAGCGGCGGACGGGUGAGUAACACGUGGAUAACCUACCUAUAAGACUGGGAUAACUUCGGGAAACCGGAGCUAAUACCGGAUAAUAUUUUGAACCGCAUGGUUCAAAAGUGAAAGACGGUCUUGCUGUCACUUAUAGAUGGAUCCGCGCUGCAUUAGCUAGUUGGUAAGGUAACGGCUUACCAAGGCAACGAUGCAUAGCCGACCUGAGAGGGUGAUCGGCCACACUGGAACUGAGACACGGUCCAGACUCCUACGGGAGGCAGCAGUAGGGAAUCUUCCGCAAUGGGCGAAAGCCUGACGGAGCAACGCCGCGUGAGUGAUGAAGGUCUUCGGAUCGUAAAACUCUGUUAUUAGGGAAGAACAUAUGUGUAAGUAACUGUGCACAUCUUGACGGUACCUAAUCAGAAAGCCACGGCUAACUACGUGCCAGCAGCCGCGGUAAUACGUAGGUGGCAAGCGUUAUCCGGAAUUAUUGGGCGUAAAGCGCGCGUAGGCGGUUUUUUAAGUCUGAUGUGAAAGCCCACGGCUCAACCGUGGAGGGUCAUUGGAAACUGGAAAACUUGAGUGCAGAAGAGGAAAGUGGAACUCCAUGUGUAGCGGUGAAAUGCGCAGAGAUAUGGAGGAACACCAGUGGCGAAGGCGACUUUCUGGUCUGUAACUGACGCUGAUGUGCGAAAGCGUGGGGAUCAAACAGGAUUAGAUACCCUGGUAGUCCACGCCGUAAACGAUGAGUGCUAAGUGUUAGGGGGUUUCCGCCCCUUAGUGCUGCAGCUAACGCAUUAAGCACUCCGCCUGGGGAGUACGACCGCAAGGUUGAAACUCAAAGGAAUUGACGGGGACCCGCACAAGCGGUGGAGCAUGUGGUUUAAUUCGAAGCAACGCGAAGAACCUUACCAAAUCUUGACAUCCUUUGACAACUCUAGAGAUAGAGCCUUCCCCUUCGGGGGACAAAGUGACAGGUGGUGCAUGGUUGUCGUCAGCUCGUGUCGUGAGAUGUUGGGUUAAGUCCCGCAACGAGCGCAACCCUUAAGCUUAGUUGCCAUCAUUAAGUUGGGCACUCUAAGUUGACUGCCGGUGACAAACCGGAGGAAGGUGGGGAUGACGUCAAAUCAUCAUGCCCCUUAUGAUUUGGGCUACACACGUGCUACAAUGGACAAUACAAAGGGCAGCGAAACCGCGAGGUCAAGCAAAUCCCAUAAAGUUGUUCUCAGUUCGGAUUGUAGUCUGCAACUCGACUACAUGAAGCUGGAAUCGCUAGUAAUCGUAGAUCAGCAUGCUACGGUGAAUACGUUCCCGGGUCU